CCUUCGAUAGCUCAGUUGGUAGAGCGGUGGACUGUAGAAAAUGAAAAUGUGUAGACAUCCAUAGGUCGCUGGUUCAAAUCCGGCUCGAAGGA
rnacentral:tRNA from 1 species